rnacentral:rRNA from 1 species
UACGUAGGGGGCAAGCGUUGUCCGGAAUCAUUGGGCGUAAAGAGCGCGUAGGCGGUCCGGUAAGUCCGCUGUGAAAGUCGGGGGCUCAACCCUCGGAUGCCGGUGGAUACUGUCGGGCUUGAGUACGGAAGAGGCGAGUGGAAUUCCUGGUGUAGCGGUGAAAUGCGCAGAUAUCAGGAGGAACACCGGUGGCGAAGGCGGGUCUCUGGGCCGAUACUGACGCUGAGGAGCGAAAGCGUGGGGAGCGAACAGG